UGUGCUCGCUGGCUCACUGGCUGUGCGACUGCUCUGUGUCACUCAGGUGACAGAUGCCCUGGUGUAUCCCUCGUGCUGCCGUCAGCCCCAGUGUGGAGGACACUAUAAGCCCAUGUGCUUUUACUUACAGCCAAGCUGCUCUGACGGUGCAGGUUGCCAAGUGUAGCGGGUCACUCUGCCUUUCUGUUGUCCGUUGCCUAGCAGAAAAAAAUCAACACUGGUCACCGGAGAUGGGUUGCAGAGUCUCGCCCCUGAGAACCUGGACCCUCAGCUGGGGCUUCACGGUGUACGGGGACCGACUUGCGGUUUAAGCUGUCUACACGCAGUCGGCGAUGCCGGAAGAUGGCCAUCGUGUUAGCAGAUCGGGGCCACGUUUGUAUCCCUGCGAGUGUGAAGCCAUCCGGAAGGCUGUGAGCUCAGCGUGCGAGAGGGACGUCCUUAAUCAGGUCAGCGCCUCGACCACCUACAGGGGGCACUACUCUGCCAAAAGCCAGGAUGGAGCCAUGCAGGUCCAGCCCCAGCCCAGCUCUCCCACCCGGCGGCAGACCCCACCACGCGCAGUGAGAGCUCUUAAGCAUCUUAGUUACGAUUCACUAAUGCUUCUUCAGUUUUAUUCUCUGUUUCAGCUAGUCUUUUAGGACAGUGUUUCCCAACCCGCUCCCUGCCAGGCGGUCCACACCUUUUGCUCCCUGGGAGAUAGCAAAAACACAGACUGUCUGCAGGUCCCCGAAGAUUGAAUUGGGAAACUGGGAUUGUUUUAGGAGGGCAUUCAUAAUGACCAAGGAGUACCAAUCAGCUGGCCGUUUCACCCCCAAAAUCCACAGGUGACUGGUUUAUGGGCUGUUUACCUCCACACUGACCUAUCAGGAGCAGGUGACCACGGCCAGUUUCCAUGUCCUCAGGUUCCAUGUCCUCAGGCCCCCUGCUGGCCAGUCAGUCUCCUACAGCGAGGAGGACCGACGGGCAAAUCCAACCGACCAAACACAAGCUCCUGGAUUCGUCCCAGAAGCCAGUCCGACACAAACAAAGAGGCUUUCUCCAAACUUUCCCCUGACAAGACGGCAGCUAUGUCUGGGUGGCUGAGGUACCUUCACACGACCCCGCAACCAGGCUGUGGAACGCCGUAAAAGCAGCUAAAGGCGCAGUUCCCACGGCCUGGGCACCGCGUGGCAGAGAUCACAGCUGUGGAGAAGCUGGUGGAGACCUUGUCCUCCGGCCUGGCGAAGACACACCGAGGACCCCAUGCCAAGCUGACCUGCCAGCACAGGAGGGUAGCAGAUUUCCAGAAACACCUUGAGUGGGUGCCACAGCCUUGGCACAGGCAGUACUAGCACAGCUCCUGACAUCACGACAUGUGUGGGUAUCUGAGACAUACGAGGGUGGGUCCAUAACUGCUGCUAUGAUGUCACCAGUGCCAUAACCACGAGCCUGGUCAAGCUUUAUUUAUUUAGCUGUAUUUAGCGAUUUCAUUGUCUUGAAAAGUGCUUCGUGCUGUUCUCUGGGUAUUUGGUUCUCUAGUUUGCUGCUGGUGAGGCCAGGAAGAUGUAAUUCUACUGGUCUCAAACUAGAUUGCUGAACAUCAUCAAACAAUCUGCUGUUUGAGAAAAGAUAAGAAAAUCUUAUGUGUAAGGAAAUAGCCAAAUGUAUCUGUGGGCCAGUGUGAAUGUCAGGCCCUCCUUUCUUUGAGAAAGGCCACUCCAGCAACGCUAGGUGUUAAUUGCUGACCUGUUCAGGAGUCUGUCACAGCGUCACCUCAGCUACAAACGUGUCAGGCGUAGUUCACAGAGUAGCCCAGAGAGCUACAUGCUGUGAUUAAACAAACAGUUGGAAGUACUGAACUUCAAGCCAGGGUUGGAGGUUAUCUUCCUGAAAGGUAUGUGUAAUGAGACCCCCUGUCCACCAGGGGUCAGUGGACAGAAUUUAAUACAAGGAAAUCGUGGUGGUGGGCUUCAUAUAAGCAACAGCCCACGGAAAAUGAAAAGAUGAGCUGUUUGCCAUAAAGACUCCUCUAUCUAUGUAGCUAUUCCAGCCCACAAGCUUUUCCCAGGAACUCAGUACAGUUAGUGACGGGAGGGUCGGUACCUGGAUGUGAAGCAUUUAAGACGUGCUGCUGGAAUCCAAGGGCUCUUCAGUGACGGCUUUAUAGCAGAGGAGGAAUGGAGCAAGGUGCUCCAUGGCUGCAGGCAAGCUGUGAUGGAUGGCUUCCUUAAUGUCGGCAAACGCUUCAUCUGGGCUUCAUCUGUUUUCAUUAGUGCAGGCUGAGCUUUGGCUUGGAGCAGGCAAGUAGGGCAGGAGGGGUGAGCGGGCCGACUGCCUUCGGUUCGAGACCAUCUUUAGAGCACGUCUGGCACAGGCACCUUCUGAAGAGAUGGAUGCCACAAGGAAAUCACCUAAAUCCCAUUUCCUGCAAAUGUAGAAACUAAAUAGUGUAUUAAAAAUUGUAAAACUGCAUUAAAUAAAGAUAGAAGUCCAAGGAUCACCAGGUAGCUGUCUUCUGCCAGUAACACAUAUGCGCCCUUUCAAAGCACCGUAGAA